rnacentral:lncRNA from 1 species
AAGCAUGUGGUUCAAUGACUCUUGAGAAUUUAGAAGCCCUGUGAUAGAUGGCCUGGUUUGCAAAUUCUCCAAGCAGUUUCACUAGGGAUUGAUAGAGUUCCUGGUCUGAUAUAAUGAAGCACAACAGCAGACUGUAGCAGAAUAUCAACAACAAAAAAAGGGCGGCAAAUUUGUUGGAGCAAAGGAGACGCCUCCAUUCCUUAAGGGUGGGCUACCCAGAUGACCCUAUAAAGGCUAAAGAGCCAUCCUAGUAUUCAAGUAGGCCCUUUGCAUGUAACAAAGAACAUGAUUAAAAGGUACAGUUUGAAAGGGACUGCCUCUCAGCAUCUGUUGCCUUGAUAACUACACAUGAUGUCUCAAUGACUUAGAGCCUGCUUUCGGAAAGCACGAGUUCGUAAGAGAGGGAAUUGCUGCUGUUUCUUGAACCAGGCAGUCUCGUCUCCUAGUGAAGAGCUUGGGCCCUGCAGCAAGAAGACCACGUGCCUCCUCCCAGGCAAGUUGUUGACUCUGUCUCUGGCUCUGUUUCCUCAUCUGGGCCCUGUGGCUAGCCAGAGCUUCCUGAGGUGUGCCUUGCUGCCAAGGCCAAAGCAUGAGCUGCAAACAGGCAAAAAUGUGGAGACUGCGAUGCCGUCUUGGGGGUGGGGGUAGGUAGCCCCUGUGCACUGUCACUGCAGGGGUGCUUGGAGCAGCACUUUUCCUUUGUCUCAUACCUUGUGACGCCUCAGCUUUGUAGCUAUAAAUCCUAAAUUGAAAUCUCCUGCUGUUCCAAGCAGACAUAGGGCAAAAGUUUAAACUUGGCGUGGUCUGCAUAUGAACUUGCCAUCUCUGCCCUCCUAUUUCCUGUACUUCCCUAUGCCCAGUGCCCACGAUGAAUCCGUUCCCCUAGCCAGACACCUGGGUCCUUCCAGGCUCCUUUGUGUCACCCACACGCAGGGUUCAAUCAGCUGUCGGUCAGGUGUGUGUUCUACCUCGUACCUACUAGCCCCUUUUUAGUGUAGCUGAUCCCUACUCACUUUCCAAUUCAGCUCAAAUGCAACCUCUUACAGGGAAGCUGUUCUGUGGCGGUCCCCUUGCAAGCUGACUUGGGGGCUCCCUUUCUUGAAUCUCCAAAACACCCUGUGCAUAUUCUAGAAAACACUUAGAGCAUUCUUUUCUAAACACUGAGUUCCUCCACUAGACUCUAAGCUUUGGCGGGGGGGGGCAGAGAUUAGGUCUUAUUUGACUUUACAUCCCUAACUCUUGGCACAGUGCCUCCCAGGCAUUUGAUGUUUAUUGAAGGAAUCAAAGAAACAGGUCUUUGCCAGGUAACCGUGGCUCAUAACCAUGAUGUAGAACGUAUUUUCAUGGGAAAAUAAAAUAACUUAGGGUUACAAGGGUUACAAGCUUUAGAGUAUUAGCAGGCGGCAUUCUAAACGUUCCUUUUAAGAUUACCAUCUAAACUCUUUUAAAAGUGGAUUCCGCAUGAUGGUAGGUUGCCAGUCCCCUGCCCUGGUCCACAGCAUCCCAGUGGGGACUUUCACCGUCCUUGUCAUGUUGUUUUAUUUCCUUUCACUUUUUUGUUACGCAUUUCUGGGGUUUCUGGAACUAGGGGCAAGGGCUGUUGAUGAAAGGGUCAUAGCUAAAUUUACUUGAAAUGAUGAACAAAUUCAAGGAAGUCUGUUUGCGUGUAGUAAACACAUAAUAGUCGAAAUAGGUAUUUGAAGUUCAAAGCCAAGGCAAACCUCCCAGACCUUAAUAUUAAUUAAAAAAAAUCUUUGGAGUUCUCUUCCUGGCCAGGGAUCGAACCUGCAACCUCAUGGUGCCUAGUCAGAUUCGUUAACCACUGCGCCACGAUGGGAACUCCACUUCAUUUCUUUAAUACACUGUCAUUAACAUAAAUUAAGUAGAAACAAUAAAGGAAGAAAUUUUUCUGUGUUGUGUGUCUCUUGCAAAAUUUUAAGUACUAUCCUACUUUGUUUAAGGGAGAGGAGAGGGGAAAACAUUGAGUCUGGAACUGUAUUUAAAGAAAGAUGAACGAGGAGGAAUACUGGCUUUGGCUCCAAAAUCUUUGUAACACCACAGGUGAAGCCCUGUGGCCUUGGAGUGUGUAUUGGGCAUCCUUCUGUGCUGUGAGCUGGGGUGAGGCUUUGAAGUUUAAAGCCCUGAAUCACCCACUAUACCAGUAUAAACGUAUUUCCCACAAGGAAAAAAAAAAAAAAAAAAAAAAA